rnacentral:rRNA from 1 species
AUUAAACUAUAAAAUUUUUAUGUUUCCUUUUGCAUAAGGAUCAAUCAAAAAUCAGAAAUAUUUCUAACAAAGAAAAUUAGUAAUUUAUUUUCAUAUAAAAUAUACGUUACAUGUAUGUAAAAUAUGAAAUUAAAAUCUUGUGAUAUGCACUAUACUAAUAAAUAUCUUUUUAAAUUUUAAUUUUAGGUUAACCUAAAAAUUUUUACCGAAAGAAUAUCUCAAUGAAGGACUAGAAGUAUCCUAUAUAAAUUCUUAUAAUAAAAACUUGGUUGUCAAAAUACUUUUGGAAUUAUAACUUAAGAUAAAUUUAUCUAAGAUUACAAUGAUUAAGUGAGUACAUAUAAUAAUUUAUUAAUUAGAACUCUACAAUUAAUAUUCUACUGUUUAUUAAAAACAUUUUAAUAUUAGCUAUAUUAUAUAUUCCUGCCCACUGAUACAUUUAAAUGGCCGCAGUAACCUGACUGUGCUAAGGUAGCAUAAUCACUUGUUUAAUAAUUUUGAACUAGAAUGAACGGAAAAAAGUAAUAUUAAUUUUUAAUUAACAAAUUUAUCUAAAUCAUUUAAAAAGUGAAAAAACUUUUUAUAGUCAUAAAAACGAGAAGACCCUAGAAAUUUUUAUUUUAAUUGGGACAAUUUAUUUAACUAAAUAUGUGUAACCAUUUUAAUUAUUAACUGUAAUAAAUCAAAUUACUCUAGGGAUAACAGCAUAAUAAUUAAGAAGAGACCUAAUCUAAAUAAUUGAUUGUGACCUCGAUGUUGAAUCAUUAUACAAUAAAAUUUGCAAUAGAAUUUUAUUUAUCGUCUGUUCGACGAUUAAUAAUUACGUGAUUUGAGUUUAAACCGUCGAAAGACAGGUUGGAUUCUCUUUUGUGAUUAUCUUAUUAUGUCUAUAUUAGUACGAAAGGACCAUAUAGGCAAUUUAAAUAAUUAUAAUAAUGAACAAAUAUGUUAUUAUA